UUAUGAUGCCUAAUUUGUAGAUGACGCUGACCGAAUCGCUCCUGUAAUAUCUUCAAGGCGCAUCGUAAA